rnacentral:rRNA from 1 species
UACGUAGGUGGCAAGCGUUGUCCGGAUUUACUGGGCGUAAAGAGCGCGCAGGCGGUCGUGCAAGUCGCGUGUGAAAGCCCCCGGCUCAACUGGGGAGGGUCACGCGAUACUGCUCGACUCGAAGGCAGGAGAGGGAAGUGGAAUUCCCGGUGUAGUGGUGAAAUGCGUAGAUAUCGGGAGGAACACCAGUGGCGAAGGCGAACUUCCUGGCCUGUUCUUGACGCUGAGGCGCGAAAGCUAGGGUAGCAAACGGG